rnacentral:lncRNA from 1 species
AGGGAUGGCAAUGGGGAGGGGAGGGGAGGGGACCAAUCUCCCCGUACCCAUCCCCGAUAUUUUGCGUAUGUCCCCGUCCCCUCCCCGUCCCCGUCAGAAUUACUUGAGCGAAUCCCCAUCCCCUCCCCGAAUAAUAACAGGGGAUCUCCGAGGGUCCCCGAUCCCCGAAUAAUUAAUAUAUUUUUUUUUCGAUUUUGAGUUAAUCAUAUUAAAAUAAAAAUUCAAAUAAAAGUAAAGUUCGAAAUAUAUCUUACAUU